UCGUGGUGCGCCCUGCCAGCUUUAUUGCUGCAACGGAGGCUCUGGCGAAAACCCCCCACCUGGGAUGGGGAACCCUAGCACUGGGGUUCCGCAUGUGGACGGGGGGGACAAAAAGGGCCUGGGAACCCUAGCUUACCCCAUGGAAGCGGAGCCACUGAGGCGGGGUCCAUACCAGGGGAAGCUAUCAUAAAGGUGGUGCCCCUCGUAACUUCCCACGUAGGGAGGUGCCCCCGCAUGGUGGCGGGGGUGAUCUCCAGGGGAGCCGAGGGAUAUAAAAGUGAUCACUGAUCGGCAGGGCUGGAUGGUUCAUGGUUGCCAUUCAGUGACCGUCGGACCCGCUGUGAGACGCACUCAUGUCUUAGUAGCGGAGCCGGACAGUGAGUCGAGCAGGUGGGUACUUUUAGUACCACUGGUUUUCCCGGGCCGUUCCACUGGCUGUACAAUACAAUAGUUGGUUUCAUUUAUAACCCCUUAAUUCCAAUUGGCUUUUUCCUGAAAUUUUCACUUGAUCACAUGAUCCUAUUCAUUUUUAUUGGAAUUGGGUUAAGCCUGCGGUGCGAAAGCGGGAGCGGGCAGGGGACAAGUUUUUCUUAAAUUUUUUACGAGAGCCCCGACUCAAAAUCUGUCCCUAUGCAAUGCCCGCUGACUAUUUGUUUGCCCGUUCCCUAUCGAUGGUUUCGCUGUCUCCCCUGUUAUUCUUUUUGAUUGGCUUUUUCACCAAAAAUAUCUUUGACCGCUUUAUGGUCCUAUUCAUUUAUUUUUAUUGGAUUAAACCUGUUAUACCGAUUGGUGGUGCAGGUAGAGAGAACAAUUGUUUUUAUUUCUUUUCACUCUCACUUACAAAAUGUCCCUAUCUACUAUCUAGCGAAACCACAGCCAAGGGAACGGGCUUGGAAAAAUCAGCGGGGAAAGAAGACCCUGUUGAGCUUGACUCUAGUCUGACUCUGUGAAGAGACAUGAGAGGUGUAGCAUAAGUGGGAGGCCGUGAACCCUCGCGGUUGUGUCGUGCCGUCAGUGAAAUACCACUACUUUCAUCGUUUCUUUACUUACUCGGUGAAGCGGAAAGCGGACCAUGAGUGUCCACGCUUCUAGCACUAAGUGCAAGGCCCUUCGUUGGCCCGCACGAUCUGUUCCGAGGACAGUGUCAGGCGGAAAGUUUGACUGGGGCGGUACAUCUGUCAAAUGGUAAC
rnacentral:ncRNA from 1 species